rnacentral:rRNA from 1 species
CCCUCCGUAGGGUGAACCUGCGGAGGGAUCAUUACCGAGUUUACAACUCCCAAACCCCUGUGAACAUACCAAUUGUUGCCUCGGCGGAUCAGCCCGCUCCCGGUAAAACGGGACGGCCCGCCAGAGGACCCCUAAACUCUGUUUCUAUAUGUAACUUCUGAGUAAAACCAUAAAUAAAUCAAAACUUUCAACAACGGAUCUCUUGGUUCUGGCAUCGAUGAAGAACGCAGCAAAAUGCGAUAAGUAAUGUGAAUUGCAGAAUUCAGUGAAUCAUCGAAUCUUUGAACGCACAUUGCGCCCGCCAGUAUUCUGGCGGGCAUGCCUGUUCGAGCGUCAUUUCAACCCUCAAGCCCAGCUUGGUGUUGGGACUCGCGAGUUAAACCGCGUUCCCCAAAUUGAUUGGCGGUCACGUCGAGCUUCCAUAGCGUAGUAGUAAAACCCUCGUUACUGGUAAUCGUCGCGGCCACGCCGUUAAACCCCAACUUCUGAAUGUUGACCUCGGAUCAGGUAGGAUACG